rnacentral:misc_RNA from 1 species
AGAGUUAAAUAGUACGUGAAAUUGUUGAAAGGGAAACGAUUGAAGUUAGUCAUGUUCGUGAGGAAUCAACUUGAUGGUAUGUGGGUUCUCUCGCAUACUUUCCGGUGCACUUCCUUACUCGGCAGGUUAGCAUCAAUUUCGGUUAUUAUAAAAAAUUUAAGGGAAUGUGGCUUUCCUUCGGGAAAGUGUUAUAGACCUUGAUCUAUGUGGUGACCGGGAUUGAGGAUUGCAGCGGAUACCCUCGUGGCUUGUCACCUGGCUUCUGACGGUUGCUCCGCUUUCGAUAGCUUGCUAACGUUAGUGGGACUCGAUUGUCUAGAUGUCCGAGUGAUUCUAUUUCGCUAAGGAUGCUGACGUAAUGGCUUUAAACGA